rnacentral:rRNA from 1 species
UACGGGGGGGGCAAGCGUUGUUCGGAAUUACUGGGCGUAAAGGGCUCGUAGGCGGCCAACUAAGUCAUACGUGAAAUCCCUCGGCUUAACCGGGGAACUGCGUCUGAUACUGGAUGGCUUGAGUUCGGGAGAGGGAUGCGGAAUUCCAGGUGUAGCGGUGAAAUGCGUAGAUAUCUGGAGGAACACCGGUGGCGAAGGCGGCUCUCUGGGACGGUACUGACGCUGAGACGCGAAAGCGUGGGGAGCGAACAGG